rfam:Punica granatum cultivar Dabenzi scaffold525, whole genome shotgun sequence.
GCCAAUGAUGACAUGUUCAUGUAUGAGACCUGAAUUCUCAAUGUGGAAACUUUCAGAACUAGGACGGUCUGAGGC